rnacentral:ncRNA from 1 species
AGGAAUUCAAUAAACUAUUAGAAUCUUAGUUAUUAACUAUAUAUUUCUUAUCUAGUCAAAGUCGAUAUGAAUUAAAUAUGAAUAUAGAAAAUAAUAGAAUUUCAAAUCAAUAAUCAAUAUUGAAUAUUAUAGAACACAACGAUUAAUAGAGCGAUCUAGAAUGUCGAUUUAGUUAUCACUACUACAAUUCGAAUAUUAUGAAAUUUGAUAUAUCUUUUAUUAUUUUUGAGUUUUAGAUAAUUAAAGUUUUCCUUUUUGCAUUCAAAUGACUUUUGAACUUCUUUUUUUAGAUUGGGGCCUUGGUAUGGAACCCGCCGAGUGAGAACUUUCAAAUUCAGAGAAACCCCGGAAUUAAUAAAAAGGGGCAAUCCUGAGCCAAAUCCUGUUGUCUGAAAACAAAGGUUCAGAAAAUGAAACAAGGGAUAGGUGCAGAGACUCAAUGGAAGCUGUUCUAACAAAUGGAGUUGGCUGCGGUCUGUCCAUCAAAAAUUCAGUAAGUAUUAACUAUAAGUAUUAAGGAUGAGGUGAAGGAUAAACGUAUAUACAUACGUAGUGAAUAGUAUAUUAAAUGAGUAAUGACAGCCUGAAUGAAUCUAUGUUUUUUCUAUGAAAAAACAAAGAAUUGGUGUGAAUAGAUUCUACGUUGAAUAAAGAAUCGAAUAUUCAUUGAUCAAAUGAUUCACUCCAUAGUCUGAUAAAUCUUUUCAAGAACUGAUUAAUCGGACGAGAAUAAAGAUAGAGUCCCAUUCCACAUGUCAAUGCCGGCAGCAAUGAAAUUUAUAGUUAAGAGGAAAAUCCGUCGACUUUUAAAAUCGUGAGGGUUCAAGUCCCUCUAUCCCCAAAUAAACUAUUUGACUCCCCAACUAUCGAUUUACCUAUCCCUCUUUUUGUUAUCGGUUCAAAAUUCCUUAUCCAUUCACUCUAUUCUCUUAGAAUUGAUCGGUGCGGAAAUGCCUUUUUCUUAUCACAUCUAUAU